rnacentral:lncRNA from 1 species
AACUGCAUGAAUAAUAGUUAUGACUUCUUUUUCUUAAUGGGAUUGCUAAAAUAGAGUUUUUUUUCUUUUUGUGUAGCAGGAAGUAAUAAUAUUAGUAUUUUCAGAACCGUUCCGAACUGGAUGGUUUGAAACAUUCCGAAUCGGAUUGAUGGAGAAUCGAAAUAGUUUCGGCAUGAAAAAUGAUACGCAUUGGUGCUCGAGAAGAAAGAGAGGAAAACAUAGGGGGUGAGAAAGAGAGAGGAGAGAGAGGGAGGCAGGAGCCGUCAGAGGGCUUCCAAGCCCGUUAUUGCCCGAUAGGACAUGACAGAGAGCAAGA